rnacentral:rRNA from 1 species
CUGGCCGCACUCUCCCUCCGCUCCGCUGACCUGCCCGCGGACUUCAUCGCCGUUGUCAGUCACGAGAUCACCGAGGAGGAUGGGCCGCGUCCGCAUCAGGAUCAACGAGGAGCAGCACGACUGUGUCCUAGAGGAGGGAGGAGAACGAGGGGCUCAAGCACGAUCGGUGAGCGGGGCAGUGGCAUCGCCUCCAGCAUCGGCGCCGCCUGCGUCAUCGAGGAGCCCGACCCCGACUGCGGCUGCUCCUCCAAGGCGAUCACCUCGACGAGCGCCUCCUCAUUGUCGCGCUCCUCGCCGGCGCCGGUUCCUCGCGCCUACGGCAACCCCAGCUGCCGUUCCCCUCUCGCUGACUUCGGCAGGAAGAGCCACGCGGGUCUUCCCCCGUGGCGGGACCCAUUGCUGCCACUGCCGUCCGUCCACCACCUACCGCUGCUGCCUGCCGCUGCCGUCGCCCGCCACCUACUAUUGCCGCUGCAACCCACCUGA